rnacentral:rRNA from 1 species
AUUGAACGCUGGCGGCAUGCUUUACACAUGCAAGUCGAACGGCAGCGCGGGCUUCUGCCUGGCGGCGAGUUGCGAACGGGUGAGUAAUUCAUCGGAACAUGCCCAGUAGUUGGGGAUAGGACGGCGAAAGCCGGAUUAAUACCGCAUACGACAUUAUGUUGAAACGGGUGGACCGAAAGGCCUCGCCCGAUUUGAGCGGCCGAUGUCGCAUUAGCUAGUUGGUGGGGUAAAGGCUUACCAAGGCGACGAUCCGUAGCUGGUCUGAGAGGACGACCAGCCACACUGGAACUGAGACACGGCCCAGACUCCUACAGGAGGCAGCAGUGGGGAAUUUUGGACAAUGGGCGAAACCCUGAUCCAGCCAUGCCGCGUGCGGGAAGAAGGCCUUCGGGUUGUAAACCGCUUUUGUUAGGGAAGAAAUACUCUGGGCUAAUACCCCGGGGGGAUGACGGUACCGGAAGAAUAAGCACCGGCUAACUACGUG